CCAACUUUUCCGUAAGUUGAGCCUAAUAUCAACUGCAUUACUGGUAACGGUAGUGUGGUAAGCUGAUAUGAAAAUGUAGCCCUAUUUAGAGGUGAAGCCGUGAGGCAGAACCGAAACUGUUAGCACAAUACGGUUAGGGAG
rfam:Tissierella creatinophila DSM 6911 TICR_contig000059, whole genome shotgun sequence.